GUUUUUGUAUUUAUAAUAAAUCUAUCAAAUAAGACAUUAUCAUUUAACUGCUGUUAUAUUUGUAAGUGAUCUAAAAGAAGAAAGUGACACAUUACAUAAAUAUUUAUUUCCUCUUUUUAAAACAUAGCUCCAAGUGAAAUUUGAGAGGGCAAAUUAACAAUGCUUUACAAAGUCUCCAUGUCUAAAGAAUUCUCUAUGCACCUUCGUAGGUUUCCAGAAAGUAAAUUAAAGAAAACAAGCUGAAUUUAGCAUCGUGUGAUCAUUCUGAAGACCUAUUAUUCUAAAGCAUGUACUGUAAAGGUGAAAACUUGUUUUGCUUUUUAAAAAACAUCUCCAUAUCAAUUAGCUGUAUUAAGGUAACACUGAGGAUGGAAUAAAAACAACUGUAUUUCGUUUGUUUAAUUCACUGCUAGCACUGUGUGUUAACAGUACUAAAAUGCAAGUUGCACUUUAAACAUUCUUUUCCUGCAAGAGUUUACAACUGCCAUAGGAAAUACGGAUGUGAAAAUCUCAAAAUAUUGUUAGUUUAAGAAUGGUUUAUAUAGACAGCUCAAAGUCAGCAAAGGUUUUCCAGAAACCUCUCUCAGAUUUCUGCUUAUAGUUUAUUGGGCAAAACUUUGUCCUAUGGCCAUGGCUAGCAACUAGGGGGCUAUGAAUGUAACUAUUUUAUUUCUGCAGACUUUAUGGAAGAUAUUUUCCAGAGAGAUUGAGAAGUUAUUGGAUUGGUCACACAAUAGUAUAUAUACUUAAAUUAUAUGCACUAUGAUGAGCUAGUCUUAAUUUCUUCCUUCUUAGCUAUAAAACAGAUUACUUGAUUAUUUAUUAUAAUGAUAAUAACAUAAUGUAUUAAGUGUUUCUGUGUGCUAGGUUAUAUUUCAAGCACUUUCUAAAUAUUAAUUAAUUCUCCAUCAAUUUUAUGAGGCAGAUUUCAUUGUGUCCAUUUUACAAAUGAGAAAACUGAGGCACAAAGAAGCAAAGUUACUUAUUCCAAAGUUACUUAAUUCAAACACAGUCAUGAGGAGGUAAAACAGAGAUACCCUGAACCCUAAGCCUUGAUGGUUUAUAUUAUUCCUUAAUUGCAAGUUAAUGAUUAUGCCAUUUUACUUCUUAAAUGUUGUUAUUUUCCCUUUUAUAUUGCAUCACUUGUAUUUAAACUAAAAUAAAUUAUUUUUGUUUUGCAUGAAAACAUCUUGAGCCACUCAUUCCAUAAUGCAAGUGUGGAUCUGAUGAUUUUCUGAAGCUUAAUUUACUGAAGCUUAAUUUAGACGCACAAUGUGGCCAUAUUGUCUAUCAAAGGUACAAGUUGCCCAAGAAUGCCUCAUUUUCCUUAUUUGUACUAUUCCACAUGUCCUCUAGCAGCCCUUCCACACCUAACAGCAUGUAAUCUUUGAAUUUAAAAAAAAAACUAGAAUUUUGAGGGUUUAGCAGAAUAUACAUAUAUAAUCAUCUCAGUCCAUUAUUUUGUAAUGAACAAAAUUUUCAGGGAUUGAUUGAGGGAGUCUUCACUAAUACUUUUGCAUAAAAAUCACAAAAAAUUUGCUUUUAGCAGAAGGCCAAGUGACAAGAAGCUGGAAUGCAUCAGCAAUAAAAGAGUAAGGAAUCUUCCUUUGCAUGAGAGUGAAAAAAUGCGGAGUUGCUAGCUAGAAGUAUAUUUGAUUUAUAGGUGGAUUUGGCUGAUGUCAAAAUAAUUGUAGUAAAUUACUCUGAGAAUAAUCUAAAACUUCAAGAAAGCAUACAUUUCCCUAUUGGUACAGGAUCCUUCAUUAAUAAAGAAUGAAAUAAUGCAGCCUCUGACAGUUUUUCCUCCCAUAUUGGAAAACAGACCCUGCAGACAGUGUUAAUGACUUGAAAGAAUGCAAACUUGGACGAUAUUUGGAAUGUAACUAGCAAACAAAUACAGGUAGAUGUGAAACAGUCCCAGAGCUCUGAUUUGACCCAACCAGGCCUUGGGUUACAUAAAAAUAAUCCUCAAUGAUAGGUGAGAAUAUUUGAGUUUUAGUGUUUAAUAGGAAUUCUCUGCUAAAUAUUUGAACAACGAUAACAGUGAUUACAUAGAAAUAGCAUAAGAUUGAUAUAGAAGUUCAUGCUGAGAAAUAGAAACUUCCCUGCUUGCAUUCCUUGGCUCUGGCCUCUUCUUCUACCCUCAUAGCCAGCAAUAUAUCAUUUUGCACUUCUUCACUUCUCUUCCAUUCUCUCUCACUUUUUUACUCUGACUCUCCUACUUCUCUCUCAUAAGGCCCACCCAGAUAAUCCAGGGUCAUCUUUCCAUCUCAAGAUCCUUAACUCAAUCACAUCUGCAAUGUCCCUUUUGCCAUUUAACAGGUUCAAGAGAUUAGGAAACGGACAUAUUUGGGGUGAGAGUGGAGACCAUUAUUCUUCCAAUCAGAGAAACAUACUAAACAGAUGAGCUCUCAGAGGACAGGUUUCAUACCUUCCUCAUCUUCCUAACACCAGGACCUAGCACAGUUAUUGCCUGGCACCUAAAAGGCACUCAGCAAAUGUGUAAUAAUUGUUUUAAUGUGUGUAAUAAUUGUUUUAGGCAAAAAAGAUUUACUUGGUAUCUACUAUGUGACAGAUACUCUUCUGGGUUCUGAGGGAUAUGGCGGUGAACAAAAUAAAGUUAUUUCUCUCACAGACCUUUCAUUCUAGUGUGGGGAGGCAGAGAGUGCACCCCAAAAUGUUAGGUGCUGAUAAGGGUUAGGAAGAAAAAUAAGCCAGACUAAGGAAGAUAAACAGUGCCAGGAGACUCUGGGAGAAGUCCUCUCAGACAAGCGGCCAGUUGAUUGGAGAACACAAAGAACUAGGGUAUCAAGACUUACACAUAUUUAGGAGAAUAUUUCAGAAAGAGGAAAUGAGAAAUGCAAAGAUUCUGAGGUAGGAACAUGCUUGGAUUUUGAGAUUUGUAAGAACUAACAAGCAGGCAAAUGAGGCUUCACAGUGAGAAAGGAGGGGAGUUGUACUAGAUGAGGUCAGGCAGAAGGAUGACAGAUUGCACAGGGUUUGGUAUUCCACAGUAAACAUUUGGACUAAACCCUGAAGAGGAUGGAAAUUCAUUACGGGGUUGAAUAGGGGCUGGUAAAAUCUGACUUGUGCCUUAGAAGAUUACUCUGCUGUGUUGAACACGGACGGUAGGAAGGUAGGGAUGGGAGGAAGGAAACAAGACAAGGCUAUUGCAGUAGUUUCAGGGAGAAGCGAUGGUGCUUGAAUUAGAGUGAUAGCAUUGGUGUUGAUGGUGAGAAUCUGUAGCAUUCUGGAUAUAUUUCUAACAUGUAACUCAUAUGAUACGGAUGUUGUGUAAUGGAAAGAGAAUAGUUAAGAAUGACUUCAAGGUUUUGAACUGAAAAAUUGAUGAGUGGAGGCACCAUUUACUACACUGGCAAGGAUUUCAAAAUGAGCAAAAUUUCCGUUUUGGAUAUGUUAGGAUUGAGAUGCUUGUCAGACAUCAAAUAGAGAUGCUGCAGGGGCAGGUGGACAUGGGAGGCUGGAGUACAGGGGACAGAUUGGGGCUAGACACAUACAUUUAGAAAUCUCAGCACAUAGAUGGCAUUCAAAACUGUGAAACCGAAUAGAUUCCCCAGGGGAGAAAUUUUGGAAGAGAAUUGAGCCCAAGUACACUCUUGCCUUUGGAGGUCAGAAAAAAUGAAGAGAAACCAGCAGUGGAGUCUGCAAACAUGCAGGCAUUGGGGAAUGAAGGGAAAGUCUUGUCUUGGAAGAAAAAUGAAGACAUUCUUUCAAAAAGGAGUGAUCAAAUAUGUCAACUGCUGUGAGAUCAGUAAGAUGAGGAGCUUGAAAUAAUCAUUUAUUUUGUUUUCCUUUAUUUAAUGUGUAUUUAUUUUUAUUAGAGACAGGGUCUUGCUUUGUUGCUCAGGGUGGACUCAGACUCCUGGGCCCAAGUAAUCCUUCCAUCUCAGCUUCCUGAGUAGCUGAGACAACAGGCAUGUGCCACUAUGCUAGGCUUAAUAAUCAUUUGUUGGUUGUCAGGACGGCUCAUGCCUGUAAUCCCAGCAGUUUGGGAGGCAGAGGUGGAAGGAUUACUUGAGUCCAGGAGUUUGAGACCAGCCUCAGCAACAUAGUGAAACCCCAUCUUUACAAAAAAUAAAAAAUUAACCAGGUAUGUUGGUGCAUGCUUGUGGUCCCAGCUACUCUAGAGGCUGAGGCAGAAGGAUUGCUUGAACCCUGGAGUUGGAGGCUGUAGUGAGCCAUGAUGGUGCCACUGUAUUCUUCC
rnacentral:lncRNA from 10 species